CAGUAGCCACGGGAAUACAGAGGGUGCGAGCGUUAAUCGGAUUUACUGGGCGUAAAGCGUGCGUAGGCGGCUUCUUAAGUCGGAUGUGAAAUCCCUGAGCUUAACUUAGGAAUUGCAUUCGAUACUGGGAAGCUAGAGUAUGGGAGAGGAUGGUAGAAUUCCAGGUGUAGCGGUGAAAUGCGUAGAGAUCUGGAGGAAUACCGAUGGCGAAGGCAGCCAUCUGGCCUAAUACUGACGCUGAGGUACGAAAGCAUGGGGAGCAAACAGGAUUAGAGACCCCAGUAGUCCAUGUCUCUUAUAC
rnacentral:rRNA from 1 species